AAUGAACGCUGGCGGCAGGCCUAACACAUGCAAGUCGAGCGAGGACUUCGGUCCUAGCGGCGGUCGGGUGAGUAACGCGUGGGAACGUGCCCUUUGCUUCGGAAUAGCCCUGGGAAACUGGGAGUAAUACCGGAUGAGCCCUUUGGGGGAAAGAUUUAUCGGCGAAGGAUCGGCCCGCGUUGGAUUAGGUAGUUGGUGGGGUAAUGGCCUACCAAGCCGUCGAUCCAUAGCUGGUUUGCGAGGAUGCUCAGCCACACUGGGACUGAGGCACGGCCCAGACUCCUACGGGAGGCAGGAGAGGGGAAUCUUAGACAAUGGGGGAGAGCCUGAGCUAGCCAUGCCGCGUAAGCGAUGAAGGCCUUAGAGUUGUAAAGCUCUUUCAGCUGGCAAGAUAAUGACGGUACCAGCAGAAGAAGCCCCGGCUAACUCCGUG
rnacentral:rRNA from 1 species